GACGAACGCUGGCGGCGUGCCUAACACAUGCAAGUCGAGCGAAUGAGGUUCCUUCGGGAAUGGAUUUAGCGGCGGACGGGUGAGUAACACGUGGGCAACCUGCCUCAUAGAGGGGAAUAGCCUCCCGAAAGGGAGAUUAAUACCGCAUAAGAUUGUAGUACCGCAUGAUACAGCAAUUAAAGGAGCAAUCCGCUAUGAGAUGGGCCCGCGGCGCAUUAGCUAGUUGGUGAGGUAAUGGCUCACCAAGGCGACGAUGCGUAGCCGACCUGAGAGGGUGAUCGGCCACAUUGGGACUGAGACACGGCCCAGACUCCUACGGGAGGCAGCAGUGGGGAAUAUUGCACAAUGGGGGAAACCCUGAUGCAGCCACGCCGCGUGAGUGAUGACGGCCUUCGGGUUGUAAAGCUCUGUCUUCAGGGACGAUAAUGACGGUACCUGAGGAGGAAGCCACGGCUAACUACGUG
rnacentral:rRNA from 1 species